ensembl:lncRNA
GAACUUUCCUUAAGUUGGAGUCUCUUGAAUUGGAGUAAGUGUGACGUUAAACACGUUCACUUAAAUUUUAACUUUCAUGUUGUUUAAUAUGCUUCAUUAUUCUUAAUGGUUGUGUUGUUACAAUCUACAGUUGGCUUCAGGCUUCUACUGGCUUUAGUUUUGGAAGCCAGCUGCUGCAAAUCAACAACUGACUCACGGAACAGGCCUGAAAAGAAGCCUCAUGCAGAACCUAAUGAUGAGGAUCCUGAUGUUAAAAGGUCCAAAGUAGAAGAACACGCUCAGACGAGUGAUAAAGAUGAGGACUUUGUGAAUGUGGAAAAACCCUGGAGAACAUUUUUUGUCGUCUCUGCUGGAAAAACCAACGGAGCUCAUCGUGACUUUGUGAAGAAGCUUGAAGCCGUCGGUCAAACUGAGGCGUCGUCUCCUGAAGGAUGUGACUACGUCGUGUGUUUCUGUCCUGUGGCUUCACGAGUUGGAACAGACGUCAGUGAGGCUCUAGACAGAAUCCCUGCUGAUAAACCAUCCAUUCUGGUGGUGAUGCAUCACACCUUCAACCAUGACCACGUUGUAGCUGAAAGCAGGAGACUGGUGACCAAGUCCAACGUCCACCUCACGCUGGACUGUUUGUUCAAUGGGCGUCACUUCCUGGAUUGUAAACGUAACGAUGCUGCGUGGGAUGAAGUCAAGAAGAAACUCGGAGUUUAUGAUAAUGAGGUAAUUACUGGAUUUAACUGUAACCAAACUUAACAUGCAUUUUAGUGAUGGAUCAACAUGAUGAUACAGGUCAUCUGAUAGAAAUGAUACCUUUCAUUGCUUUUUCUAUACUGCAGGAACUUUCCUUAAGUUGGAGUCUCUUGAAUUGGAGUAAGUGUGACGUUAAAUAAGUUAACUUAAAUUUUAACUUUCAUGUUGUUUAAUAUGCUUCAUUAUUCUUAAUGGUUGUGUUGUUACAAUCUACAGUUGGCUUCAGGCUUCUACUGGCUUUAGUUUUGGAAGCCAGCUGCUGCAAAUCAACAACUGGUAAGAAGGUUUAGUUUGUAUAAACUGGUAUUUUGCUUUGUGAAUACUACGUCUUAUAAAGCUUUUAUAGAAACUCUGUUAACCUUAUGUGUUUAGUAAUUGGUUCCUAUAAAUAGUAAUAUUAUAUUAUAUUAUAUUAUAUUAUAUUAUAUUAUAUUAUAUUAUAUUAUAUUAUAUUAUAUUAUAUUAUAUUAUAUUAUAGAUAUAUAUAUAUUAUAUUAUAUUAUAUUAUGAAUUUACAAAGUUGUUUCCUGUGGGUCUCUGUUGUAGCCAUUCAUAAAAACCAGAAAGAACAGAUAUUCCCAGUUGGAUCACAGAAGGACAGGCAGGGUCGCAGACAGAGAAGAGAGGUUUGAUGAUCUGAGUGAGGUUGUUAAUGAGAGAGUAGACAAGAGAAGAAAAGAGCUACUGAAUAACAACACAACAAACGUGACACGUUUUAAUACUUCUGUGAUGAUGAGGUAGUGAGUUGAGGUAGAUGAAAGAGAAACAGUAAACUCUGUGAGGAGAAGUGAUGAUGGAGAAAAACUACUGUGUAAAAAAGUGUGUGUGUGUGCGUGUGUGUGUGCCUGUGUGUGCGUGCGUGUGUGUCUGCGUGUGUGCGCGCACGUGUGUGUGCUUGUGUGCGUGUGUGUUUGUGUAUGUCUCAGUUCAGUCCUGGCAUCAUUUGAGAUUGAUCUGAGUGAUUUAUGUGUGUGAGUGUGUUUUUCAGUCCGGUCCCUUUAUGUUGAGGAGACUUAUGACCUACUGUAUGGAAGGAAGCUGUCACACAGUCUGGAUGUGAGUGCCAGAAUGCUUUGGUACCUUUUUCCAGACGGCACAAGGGUGAAGUGUGUGUGUCUGGUCAGCCACGAUGCUGUAAAGGGGAGAGACUCUGUGUUGUGGUGGUGGAGUCUUUGCAUGAACACCUUUCACCUCAUGUCCCGGGACAGUUUGGCCCUGGUUGAUCCUGCCACUUUCACUCUGAAGGUGAAGAGAGGGUUCAGGACAUCUGUUUAUUUUUUUCUUUCCUUCAUCUAGUUUGUGUUGUUGAGUGUUAAAAUUAUGUUUUUUGUUUUUUCUUUCUGUGCCAGCAUCCAAGUCUGCUACAGAUCAGGCUCCAGUGUUAAAGUCUGCUACAGAUCAGGAUCAAGCUUCCGAAUCUGUUCCACAUCAGGAUCAAGCUUCAGAAUCUGUUCCACAUCAGGAUCAAGCUUCAGAAUCUGUUACACAUCAGGAUCAAGCUUCAGAAUCUGUUCCACAUCAGGAUCAAGCUUCCAAGUGACUUCACUUUGUCAUUGUCAAAUCAAAGUUCUGUUAAACGGCUUCUAUCUAAAAUGGAUAAAAUUAAGUAAUUUUAUUAGCUCAUUUUUGUUUUUUGUCUUUUUUCUAAAACUUUUUUCUCCAGUAAUUUAAGUAACCAGUGUGGAGGUUGCAGUGUUAAAGUGCAGGUGUUCCUAUUGAUUAUUCUAUAUAUAACACAGUGUUUUAGUGUUUUAGCUAAAUACAUUUUGCGAUAAAGACAAGUUUGCAUUAACAUUUUGUUGUAGAAGUUCCCACUAGGCUCAAUGAGUCUGCUGGUUUCAUCUGAACAUAGAUCUUGAAGUUUAGUAGUUUAGUUACAGCAUUUUCAAACAAAAACCAAGAAUAAAUCAAUGACUAAUAACUCUGGUACA